GGGAAGGCAGUAAUAUCACCUGGCUGCAAGGCUGCUGGUAUCAUCCUGGAGAUGACAAGCUGUUCCAUGCAUGACCAUCAUUUUGUGUGUACAGCACCAUGCACAGUGGAAUCCAGAUCCAUAUAUUAUUGUUGUCCCUAGAUGCUGCUACAACAACAACAAUUUAAGUAUAGUCUUGGCAGAUGAAUGCUGCAAGUCUCCAGAGGAAAGCAGGAACUGGGACCAGCCUACUGACUGAGCAGCAGGGAUUGAUCAUGUACUGUUACCACUCCAAAAUGUCUGAAGAUAAGCUGGUACAUACAGUUUACCCUAUCAGGCCCCAGCUGAGAUGAGGAUACUUUACAAAAGAGUAAUUUGUGAAAGGGAGUGCCUCACAGUACCUGCCUGUUAUUGGAAUUUGUGUCACUUAUACCUGAAGGGAAGAUUACGCAUUUUUUGCUAUGAGUCUCAUACUCUGCUAUAUAUAUUUUUUUUUCUUCACAUCAUAUAAAAUGAAGCAACCUCACAUAAUCCCAGCCUACAAUUUCCUAUCAUUUUAUUUUUAUAAGUAUGCUUUUCCCCUUGAAAAGAAAUAUUCUAGCCACAUUACCAUGAACUAGUUUUCCUGUCAUUUCAUCCUUAUCAGAAUGUUUUUCCUUAAGAUGAGGCCUAAGAAUCUGGCCCUUUCAAUGCAACUCCUUAUGUAUCAACUGGGCAUUUCACAUACAAGACUAGGUUCUGUCAGGAAGUUUAAGGCCUAGUUUAUAUAACACAAGCGAUAAUGAAAAUUGACCAUAAUGCAUGCAAUGCUAAUCCUGACAGACUUUGAAGUUAGAGGACACUGCUAAUCGACAAGGACCACUGGGACAAACUUAAGUAGGGGACAAGAGUUGUAUGCAUGCUUUUCUCUCCUCCAAACGCCCACUAGGUCCACAGGUGACACUAUUAAGCUAUGUUCCCUCUCUGUUUGAGGCAUAAAUUGCUUUAAACCUGAAAACGUGUUUGGAGCCUCCUCCAGCUGUCCAUUUGUAUCCUUUACUCUCACCCCAGUAGCCUCCUGGCACAUGUACAGGCACCCUUUGUGAAAGAGCAUGGUUUUAAAGGGGAUAUUUAGAAUUUAUGAGCAGAGAGAGAACACCCUUCAGUGGACAGCCAUCACAAGAAAAUACAGGCAAUCUCUCAUCAGUCAUAAGCUGAGUCCAAUGAGCUCCCACUGACUCAAAGCCCUGUGGAUGAAGAAUAGUUCAUUACACAAUUACAUGCACUUAAACUUGCAUGGUUUGACUCAGGGAAAAGGUGUUAACAUGGGCCCAGCGAGCCAGACAGAAUCCAAAAGGACUGGAGCCCUAUAAACCUGGGAUAUGCACAUUCUGAAAGUGCCUGUGCUCAAGUCUCCAAACUUCCACUCCACAGUGUCAAAUAUGGCCAGCUCAGUGGCAAUUCCACCAUUAGUUCCCCAUCUGAGAUAGCACUUGGUGACAUCUCCAGUAGAGCUCAUAAUGAAAAAAUACAAGAUAAUGCUGCACUGGUGGGGCGAAUUCCCAAGCUAUACGAUAUGUCAGAAAAUAUGGCAUCUGUUUCUCAGUUCCAAAACCCUAUCUUCACAGUUUAUGCAAGGGUUUGUGCAGACUCUGCUCCGGAGAAUGGAGUGCACCACAUGGGUUCAUUCUUCCUCUUCCAUAUACCGAGAUCAUGUUCAGCCUAUUGCAGGUUCCCAAAUAAGA